rnacentral:rRNA from 1 species
UACGUAGGGGGCAAGCGUUGUCCGGAAUCAUUGGGCGUAAAGAGCGUGUAGGCGGCCUGGUAAGUCCGCUGUGAAAGUCCAGGGCUCAACCCUGGAAUGCCGGUGGAAACUGUCAGGCUCGAGUUCGGAAGAGGCGAGUGGAAUUCCUGGUGUAGCGGUGAAAUGCGCAGAUAUCAGGAGGAACACCAAUGGCGAAGGCAGCUCGCUGGGACGGUACUGACGCUGAGACGCGAAAGCGUGGGGAGCAAACAGG